UUUAUCAAUUAAGAAAAUUUCAAAAAUAUUGUGACAUUUCGAGUGAUAGAGAGCAAAAUGGCAUAUAAAAGCUUCAUUCAUUUUCCACUUAUUAUAUUGGCUAUAAUCUAGAAACUUCCUGAGAGGAAAAGCAUUGCAGAGAUGUCCAAGAAUUACAGUACUCUGUGACUCCCAAAAUCCUAAACCCCACUUGACCUUUGCCUCAAAGCCAUAAGCUUUCUCUUCUAUCUUUCAGCAGCUCAAGGGCUUGUUGGAAAGGAGUGAACUUUAUUUGUUUUUGCAGGAAAGAUUUGAGGAGGUUGAAGGAUUUCGUUUUGUAAUCUUGGACAGAAGACCAUUUGAGAAACCCAUUUCUCUGUUCAUUAGUGGAAGGAUUCCAAGCCAAGUUUAUAUUACUUGCAAUGGCUGAUGAACCUACAAGAAAGAUUAGCCUGAAGGCCUUAGUAAACAGGGGGAACAAAAGAGUUAUCUUUAUGGAGUCUG